ACAUCCAGCGAACUUGGCAGAGAUGCCUUGGGUGCCUUCGGGAACGCUGAGACAGGUGCUGCAUGGCUGUCGUCAGCUCGUGUUGUGAAAUGUUGGGUUAAGUCCCGNAACGAGCGCAACCCUUAUCCUUUGUUGCCAGCGAUUCGGUCGGGAACUCAAAGGAGACUGCCGGUGAUAAACCGGAGGAAGGUGGGGAUGACGUCAAGUCAUCAUGGCCCUUACGAGUAGGGCUACACACGUGCUACAAUGGCGCAUACAAAGAGAAGCGACCUCGCGAGAGCAAGCGGACCUCAUAAAGUGCGUCGUAGUCCGGAUCGGAGUCUGCAACUCGACUCCGUGAAGUCGGAAUCGCUAGUAAUCGUGGAUCAGAAUGCCACGGUGAAUACGUUCCCGGGCCUUGUACACACCGCCCGUCACACCAUGGGAGUGGGUUGCAAAAGAAGUAGGUAGCUUAACCCUCGGGAGGGCGCUUACCACUUUGUGAUUCAUGACUGGGGUGAAGUCGUAACAAGGUAAGCGUAGUGCU
rnacentral:rRNA from 1 species